UACAGAGGGUGCAAGCGUUGUUCGGAAUUAUUGGGCGUAAAGCGCGUGUAGGCGGCUUUGCAAGUCGGGUGUGAAAGCCCUCAGCUCAACUGAGGAAGUGCACCCGAAACUGCAGAGCUUGAGUGCUGGAGAGGGUGGCGGAAUUCCCCAAGUAGAGGUGAAAUUCGUAGAUAUGGGGAGGAACACCGGUGGCGAAGGCGGCCACCUGGACGGUAACUGACGCUGAGACGCGAAAGCGUGGGGAGCAAACAGG
rnacentral:rRNA from 1 species